rnacentral:rRNA from 1 species
UGGGGAAUAUUGCACAAUGGGCGCAAGCCUGACGACGCAACGCCGCGUGGGGGAUGAAGGCCUUCGGAUUGUAAACCCCUGUCGAGCGGGACGAAUGACUCACGACCUAACACGUCGUGGGACUGACGGUACCGCUAAAGGAAGCCACGGCUAACUCUGUGCCAGCAGCCGCGGUAAUACAGAGGUGGCAAGAGUGGUUCGGAAUUACUGGGGGUAAAGGGCGCGUAGGCGGCCUUCUAAGUCAGAGGU